AUUGAACGCUGGCGGCAGGCCUAACACAUGCAAGUCGAGCGGGGUUUUCGGACCUAGCGGCGGACGGGUGAGUAAUGCUUAGGAAUCUGCCUAUUAGUGGGGGACAACAUUUCGAAAGGAAUGCUAAUACCGCAUACGUCCUACGGGAGAAAGCAGGGGAUCUUCGGACCUUGCGCUAAUAGAUGAGCCUAAGUCGGAUUAGCGAGUUGGUGGGGUAAAGGCCUACCAAGGCGACGAGCUGUAGCGGGUCUGAGAGGUUGAUCCGCCACACUGGGACUGAGAAACGGCCCAGACUCCUACGGGAGGCAGCAGUGGGGAAUAUUGGACAAGUGGCUGAAGCCUGAUCCAGCCAUGCCGCGUGUGUGAAGAAGGCCUUAUGGUUGUAAAGCACUUUAAGCGAGGAGGAGGCUACAUUAGUUAAUACCUAGAGAUAGUGGACGUUACUCGCAGAAUAAGCACCGGCUAACUCUGUGCCAGCAGCCGCGGUAAAAC
rnacentral:rRNA from 1 species